ACGUUCGCGGACAGUAACGAACACAGGCGUCUAUACAGCUAAAAGUGUUACGACAGUACGUCUGUCGACGUAUCAGUUUUUACUUGCAUAAAAUCAGUACGCCACACGCCGUGCGAUUUUUCAUACUAUCAUAAAGAACGGCAUGUUGUACUGUCUUGACAGGUAUAAUUACGACUUUUGUACUGUCACUGUAUUAUUUACAAAAAUUCGUCAAAGGAAGGUACUUCCACGCACACAUUCAUAUUUUUAUACCCCUCUCCCGCGAACACUACGCCCGUGGGCGCCAUGUUUGCAUACGGUUAGUCGAGUACUGCGCCGCUGCGGUGAUCCCGCGUGUCGCUGCAUGUUUUCGCGCGCAAUUGUUAUUUAGAAAAUGGCGUCUCGAGACUCGUUCGAAAAAGAACAAAAACGUCUUCAAGACCUGUUUGAUGCAGCGUCUACCCCUAAAUCGAGUCAAGACCCAUUUGGGUGACUAUGAAUCUGAUGCUGAGUGCUUACGACGUUUACGCCUAUAUCCGUUCUGUCAUAUCAUAUGGUUUUUUAACCAUGUGUUGUUACACUACGCCCCUGGGCAAUGUAUGAAAAAAAGUAGUGUCUCAUUAGCUUCAACCUGUAAGAUUGCACUGUCCGCGAACGUGUUAA